rnacentral:rRNA from 1 species
AUACGGAGGAUCCGAGCGUUAUCCGGAUUUAUUGGGUUUAAAGGGUGCGCAGGCGGCCAUUUAAGUCAGCGGUUAAAUCGUGGGGCUCAACCCCAUUCUGCCGUUGAUACUGGGUGGCUUGAUUGCGGUCGAGGUUGGCGGAAUUCGUUGUGUAGCGGUGAAAUGCAUAGAUAUGACGAAGAACACCGAUUGCGUAGGCAGCUGACCAGACCGCAAAUGACGCUCAUGCACGAAAGGGCGGGGAUCGAACAGGAUUAGAUACCCUGGUAGUCCGCACAGUAAACGAUGAAUACUUGUUGUCGGCGAUAUAAUGUCGGAGGCAAAGCGAAAGCGAUAAGUAUUCCACCUGGGGAGUACGCCCGCAACGGUGAAACUCAAAGGAAUUGACGGGG